AACGAGGCUAGAGUCACGCCUGGAUAUAUCCCAUUGUCCUGGUGUGCUAGAGUGCUCGUAGAGGAAAUGUCUUUGCUUAUUCAUUGUCUGUAGUCUGUUGUGGCCCAGUCAAUCACCAACUCAGGCACAUUC
rnacentral:snoRNA from 1 species